rnacentral:rRNA from 1 species
GACGAACGCUGGCGGCGUGCUUAACACAUGCAAGUCGAACGGAAAGGCCCUGCUUUUGUGGGGUGCUCGCGUGGCGAACGGGUGAGUAACACGUGAGUAACCUGCCCUUGACUUUGGGAUAACUUCAGGAAACUGGGGCUAAUACCGGAUAGGAGCUCCUGCUGCAUGGUGGGGGCUGGAAAGUUUCGGCGGUUGGGGAUGGACUCGCGGCUUAUCAGCUUGUUGGUGGGGUAGUGGCUUACCAAGGCUUUGACGGGUAGCCGGCCUGAGAGGGUGACCGGCGACAUUGGGACUGAGAUACGGCCCAGACUCCUACGGGAGGCAGCAGUGGGGAAUAUUGCACAAUGGGCGGAAGCCUGAUGCAGCAACGCCGCGUGCGGGAUGACGGCCUUCGGGUUGUAAACCGCUUUCGCCUGUGACGAAGCGUGAGUGACGGUAAUGGGUAAAGAAGCACCGGCUAACUACGUG